UACGGGGGGAGCAAGCGUUGUUCGAAUUUACUGGGCGUAAAGGGCGCGUAGGCGGCCACCGCAAGUCGGUUGUGAAAUCUCCGGGCUUAACCCGGAAAGGUCAAUCGAUACUGCGGGGCUAGAGUGCAGAAGGGGCAACUGGAAUUCUCGGUGUAGCGGUGAAAUGCGUAGAUAUCGAGAGGAACACCUGCGGCGAAGGCGGGUUGCUGGGCUGACACUGACACUGAAGCGCGAAAGCUAGGGGAGCGAACGGG
rnacentral:rRNA from 1 species